GCCUUGCUCAGAACGAUGUGAAUCGUUAGCU
rnacentral:piRNA from 1 species